rnacentral:lncRNA from 1 species
CUUGUACUUCCAGCCCUGACAGGAUGAGAUGUUACAUGGACACUCCUUGAACCGCUGGUUUAGAUGCCUACACAGAGGAGUCAAGCAGGCAUCUGGCCCCAGGUAACAGAGGCCAACCUCUUCUUCCAUCGGUUGCUGUGACUGGGCCAGCCUGCAACAGUCCCCUCCUCCUCACUGCAUUCUGCAGGACUAUGGAGUUCAGUGCUGUGUGCCUAGUUCUGUACUUGACCUCUGGCACAUGCAAAAGCCCAUGUGUACUAAUAAAUGAAUGAAGAAAAUUUGUGAC